rnacentral:rRNA from 1 species
GACGAACGCUGGCGGCGUGCUUAACACAUGCAAGUCGAACGGAAAGGCCCUGCUUUUGUGGGGUGCUCGAGUGGCGAACGGGUGAGUAACACGUGAGUAACCUGCCCUUGACUUUGGGAUAACUUCAGGAAACUGGGGCUAAUACCGGAUAGGAGCUCCUGCUGCAUGGUGGGGGUUGGAAAGUUUCGGCGGUUGGGGAUGGACUCGCGGCUUAUCAGCUUGUUGGUGGGGUAGUGGCUUACCAAGGCUUUGACGGGUAGCCGGCCUGAGAGGGUGACCGGCCACAUUGGGACUGAGAUACGGCCCAGACUCCUACGGGGGGCAGGAGUGGGGAAUAUUGCACAAUGGGCGGAAGCCUGAUGCAGCAACGCCGCGGGCGGGAUGACGGCCUUCGGGUUGUAAACCGCUUUCGCCUGUUACGAAGCGUGAGUGACGGUAAUGGGUAAAGAAGCACCGGCUAACUACGUG